CUUUCUACGGAGUACAAUUCUCACUGUUAUGGAAUUAAAUUUGUAUCCAGUUUUGAGAGAACUUUCUCUCAAUUUUGUUCUUUGAAAACUGAAUAUAGACAUUGAAAUCAAUAAAUUAAUAUUUCAAAUGUUUAGAUCAACCUAUAGAAUAUUCAAGACAUAUACAAAAAUAGGUCAUACUUAUAUUUAUAAAUACU
rnacentral:misc_RNA from 1 species